AGCUUGUCCGGGUCGACCGCGCGCGAGGCGAGCAGGUAGUCACGCAUGACGAUCCCGUGCCGGCCCUC
rnacentral:sRNA from 1 species